GAGUCUGCUUGAAGAUUCUCUUCCUCUGCUCCUCCCCCUGCUCUUGAUCACAUGUGCGCUGUGUCUCUCUCUCUCAAAUAAAUAAAUCUUUUAAAAAAACUUAACAUAAGUGAAAUAAAGCUAUUUCCCCCUUCAUCUGCUGUCAUCCAUUAAAGAUUAUUUUAUAUACUUUUGUCUGUUUACAGCUUCAGAACUAGCAAAAACACCAAGAAAAAAUGUUUCGUUAAGUUUGAAGAAUGAUCCUGAAAUUAUGAUAAACAUUCCUCAAUGUAGUAAGGGGCAUUCUGCUUCAGACAAAGUUCAAUUGAAGAACAGCGAUAAAAGUGAAUUUCUGUCUACAGCACCUAGUGGUCUAAGGAAAAGAUUAAUAGGUACGUAUUUCUUUCUAAACUGAGUUUUUAUAAAAAGCACCUAAACAAGGGGCAGUCAUGGUUUAGUGUAUAGGUUCUAGUCUUAGACUGCUUGGUUUUUUUUGUUGUUGUUUUUUUUGUUUUUGUUUUUAAUUUAUUCAAUUGACAGAGAUAGAGACAGCCAGCGAGAGAGGGAACACAA